rnacentral:misc_RNA from 1 species
AAGUCGUAACAAGGUUUCCGUAGGUGAACCUGCGGAAGGAUCAUUAAUGAAUAAACUUGGUCGAGCUGUUGCUGGUUCUUCGGGACAUGUGCACGCUUGCCACCAAUUUUAACCACCUGUGCACCCUUUGUAGACUGGAAACGUUUCUCGAGGCAACUCGGAUUGAGGACUGCUGUGCGAAAGCCGGCUGUUCUUGUGUUUCUCAGUCUAUGUUUUUCAUAUACUCCUAAUGUAUGUAUCAGAAUGUAUUGCUAGGCCUUAGCGCCUUUAAAUCAAAUACAACUUUCAACAACGGAUCUCUUGGCUCUC